GACGAACGCUGGCGGCGUGCCUAAUACAUGCAAGUAGAACGCUGAAGAGAGGAGCUUGCUCUUCUUGGAUGAGUUGCGAACGGGUGAGUAACGCGUAGGUAACCUGCCUGGUAGCGGGGGAUAACUAUUGGAAACGAUAGCUAAUACCGCAUAAAAUUGAUUAUUGCAUGAUAAUUAAUUGAAAGAUGCAACUGCAUCACUACCAGAUGGACCUGCGUUGUAUUAGCUAGUUGGUGAGGUAACGGCUCACCAAGGCGACGAUACAUAGCCGACCUGAGAGGGUGAUCGGCCACACUGGGACUGAGACACGGCCCAGACUCCUACGGGAGGCAGCAGUAGGGAAUCUUCGGCAAUGGGAGGAAACCCCUGACCGAGCAAACGCCCGCGUGAGUGAAAGAAAGGUUUUUCGGAUUCGUAAAAGCUUCUGUUGUAA
rnacentral:rRNA from 1 species